rnacentral:lncRNA from 13 species
AUGACAACGGCUCCAUCAGUGCUGAGCCCUCUCACUCUGAUUGUAUGGGACACUCAAUUACGGCUCCUUGUGUUUCCAAUCUUCUUCCUCUGGCAGGAUUACUUCCACGUGCAACUGUCAGACGACAAGCAGGUGAGGUACUUCCUGGAGCUGAGCUAUGCUGGUGCCAUCCUUCGGGACAGCUGGGUCCUGACAGACGUUGGCAUCACCCCUAGCAGUGCCAUCUGCUGCCUGCUGAAGGUACCAGCCGAACACCUAGCUGUUUCUACCCGUGCUUGAAAAUGCAUAUCAAAGUGAGCUGGCUAUUGCUUGAAACAGCUUCAUACUAUCAUUAGCAUAAAGUGUUUCAGAUAUAGUGUGGUAAUAUAUAGUAUGGUUAUAUAGUAUGGUUAUAUAGUAUGAUUAGGUAUGAUUAGGUGAUUUAGUUCAUUCAAACAGGUGCCAUUAAUACAGGUAACGAGUGGAGGACAGAGGAGCCUCUUAAAGAAGAAGUUACAGGUCUGUGAGAGCCAGAAAUGUUGCUUGUUUGUAGGUGACCAAAUACUUAUUUUCCACCAUAAUUUGCAAAUAAAUUCAUUAAAAAUCCUACAAUGUGAUUUUUCUGGAUUUUUUUUCUUUCUAAUUUUGUCUGUCAUAGUUGAAGUGUACCUAUGAUGAAAAUUACAGGCCUCUCUCAUCUUUUUAAGUAGGAGAACUUGCACAAUUGGUGGCUGACUAAAUACUUUUUUGCCCCACUGUAUAGUGUGGUGGUAUAUAGUAUGGCGAUAUAUAGUAUGUUGAGGUCACCCUGCUUGAGACUUAAAGUAAUAUUGCCCUUGCUCAACCAAGACCAUGGUUAUGGUAGAGUGAUUGGUUAGUAAGGACACUGCUUUAUACCGAGACCAUGGUUAUGGUAGAGUGAUUGAUUAGUAAGAACACUGCUUCGUGAGUGUGAAGUGUUGUAGUACAGAGGUCCCUGGGUACAUGUCCAGAGCCAGACAGGGACAGAACUCACUCUGUUCCACAAAGUUCUGUGGAAGAUUUGCUAACAGAGGAGAGUGGUUAUGUAUCUAAGUAC